rnacentral:lncRNA from 1 species
UUUUCAAGUGUUCAAUUACAACGAUUUUCAAUUUUCAAGAAGUUGUUCGUCAAUCCGGUAAACUCGUUUCAACUCUUACGUGCUAAGAAUAUUUGUUAUGUGUUGUUAUUUUGCUUAAUUAUAAUUAUUAUGGCAUUUUCAUUGAAAAACAUGUUCGGAAAAGGUAAAUCUAAAUCCGGUGAAAGUAGACGCCAAAAUCCUACCCCUCCCCCGGCUCCCCGACCUAGAAAAGAAUAUUUGUUGUGUGUUGUUAUUUUGCUUAAUUAUAAUUAUUAUGGCAUUUUCAUUG